rnacentral:rRNA from 1 species
AUUGAACGCUGGCGGCAGGCCUAACACAUGCAAGUCGAGCGGAUGAAGGGAGCUUGCUCCUGGAUUCAGCGGCGGACGGGUGAGUAAUGCCUAGGAAUCUGCCUGGUAGUGGGGGAUAACGUCCGGAAACGGGCGCUAAUACCGCAUACGUCCUGAGGGAGGAAGUGGGGGAUCUUCGGACCUCACGCUAUCAGAUGAGCCUAGGUCGGAUUAGCUAGUUGGUGGGGUAAAGGCCUACCAAGGCGACGAUCCGUAACUGGUCUGAGAGGAUGAUCAGUCACACUGGAACUGAGACACGGUCCAGACUCCUACGGGAGGCAGCAGUGGGGAAUAUUGGACAAUGGGCGAAAGCCUGAUCCAGCCAUGCCGCAUGUGUGAAGAAGGUCUUCGGAUUGUAAAGCACUUUAAGUUGGGAGGAAGGGCAGUAAGUUAAUACCUUGCUGUUUUGACGUUACCAACAGAAUAAGCACCGGCUAACUUCGUG